rnacentral:tRNA from 2 species
CGGGGAGUAGCUCAGCCCGGUUAGAGCACCUGCUUUGGGAGCAGGGGGCCGCAGGUUCGAAUCCUGUCUCCCCGACAA